AAGAAUCUCAGGUGUCCAAAAAAAAACCCCUAAACGACGCCCCACCAAAUCAAAACCGCUCGAUCUCUCCCCCUUCAAAACCACCAAUUUCCCCUGCUGCCCAAAACCGCUUAUCUACUUCACACCCCUUCCCCUGGGAAGCCAAAGACAAAAACUAAUUGGGCACGGCACCAAUCCCUUCUCCUUGAAAUCGCCCCAAACCGCAUCAAAUACUCUCAUUUUGGGGCUCUCCUAACGCCACAAAACCACCUUUUGACUCUCCCAAAAUCCCUCGACUCGCACCCAAAUACCACCAGCAAUUCCUGAAUUGUCAAGUUUUUUAUACCACAACAGGAGACUGAACUCACAAUAGGAGAUUGGCCUCCAUUUCAAGAUUCAUUUCAGACCUCUCUCGCUUUCUCUCUCUAAGAUUCCUUAACUGACCUCCCUCUCUCUCUCUCUCUCAGAAUAAUCCCAUAAAUCACCUUCUCUCUCUCUCUCUCUAAUUUCAGACCUCGCGUCUUCUCUCUCUCUCUCUAAUUUCAGACCUCGCGUCUUCUCUCUCUCUACCCGAACAAUCCAUCCCUCUAGACUCUAGCACAACUCCCUUUUCUCUCUCCUCUCUCAUGGGUGCAGUGAAAACCCU
rnacentral:lncRNA from 1 species